rnacentral:tRNA from 1 species
GCCUUCGUAGUGCAGCGGGCAGCACGCUCGAAGCGUAACCGAGAUGUCCAGGGUUCGAUUCCCGGCGAAGGCG